UACGGGGGGGGCAAGCGUUGUUCGGAAUUACUGGGCGUAAAGGGCGCGUAGGCGGUUCGAUAAGUCAGCUGUGAAAACCAUGGGCUUAACUCAUGGCCUGCAGUUGAGACUGUCGGGCUGGAGUGUGGGAGAGGAGAGUGGAAUUCCUGGUGUAGCGGUGAAAUGCGUAGAUAUCAGGAGGAACAUCGGUGGCGAAGGCGGCUCUCUGGACCACAACUGACGCUGAGGCGCGAAAAGCUAGGGGGAGCAAA
rnacentral:rRNA from 1 species